rnacentral:misc_RNA from 1 species
CCGAGUUCGGCACCCUCUGGGUGCCUACUCCCACCAUCUGUGUACCCAUUCUUGUUGCUUUGGCGGGGCGUGGCAAGCGCCCCUCCGGCCCCCCGGCUGGAGCGUACCCGCCAGAGGUUUUUCAAACUCGAUUAAACAGAAGUCUGAGUGAAAACAAAUGAAUCA